AAUUGAACAAAUAAAUUGAGAGAAUAAUGCUAUUUGAACAAGGUCAAUGAUAGGCAUUUUUUUGACAGACAGACUUGGAAGAUUUUGAUGGACAAUUUUUUGUUCAACUUUUUUUAACUGUCAGUGGAUGAUUGUCAAUUGUAUUUGUGUAUAAAAAUCCAUCAGAGUGUGUUCCUAUAGUGGAAUUGAAAUUGUGAUUACACCUGAGAGCUCAAAUAAAAUGAUAUGUGCGUAACUAUUAAUUGCUUGGUAGAAAAUUAACUACAAUGCUGCUAUGCGUAUGGCUAGGGUUUGACACCUCCCGGACAGCACACUCACAAUAGAGAUAGGGAGCACUUUAUUGGAAAUUUUUUUUAUUCACAUAGGUUUCACACAUGUGAGUAUAGAUCAACCAAGUGAAAAAAAUUUCAGUCAAAUGAGAUGAAUUCAAUUAACAAGAUCCAUGCAUUACUCUUAAAAUCUGUGAAGAG
rnacentral:lncRNA from 1 species